GGCUUUUUGAUUAUAAUUUAAGGUCUAGCCUGCCCAAUGAUGUAAUAUUAAAUGGCCGCGGUAUUUUGACCGUGCAAAGGUAGCAUAAUCAUUAGUUUUUUAAUUGGAAGCUUGUAUGAAGGGUUUGAUGAGAAAGUAGCUGUCUCUAUUCAAAUUUUUAAGAAAUUUAUUUUUAAGUUAAAAAGCUUAGAUGGAUAUUAAAGACGAGAAGACCCUAUAGAGUUUUAUAUUUUUGCAAGAUUAUUAAGUUUUAGGAUUUUUUAGUAGUUUUUUAGAAUUAUUUGGUUGGGGCGAUUGGAAAAUUAGUUAAACUUUUUUGCGGGGUAUAUCACUGAUUUGUGAGUUCUUGAUCCUUAUUGAAGAUUAACAGAUAAAAUUACCUUAGGGAUAACAGCGUAAUUUUUUCUAGAGUUCUUAUCGAAAGAAAAGAUUGCGACCUCGAUGUUGGAUUAAAAUUGAUUAUUGGUGUAGAAGCUAAUGAGUUAGGUCUGUUCGACCUUUGAAUUUUUACAUGAUCUGAGUUUAAACCGGUGUAAG
rnacentral:rRNA from 1 species